rnacentral:rRNA from 1 species
UACGAAGGGGGCUAGCGUUGUUCGGAUUUACUGGGCGUAAAGCGCACGUAGGCGGAUUGUUAAGUCAGGGGUGAAAUCCUGGAGCUCAACUCCAGAACUGCCUUUGAUACUGGCAAUCUCGAGUCCGGAGGAGGUAAGUGGAACUCCUAGUGUAGAGGUGGAAUUCGUAGAUAUUAGGAAGAACACCAGUGGCGAAGGCGGCUUACUGGUCCGGUACUGACGCUGAGGUGCGAAAGCGUGGGGAGCAAACAGG